ACGACAAAUAUGAGAAAGAUAAAAGUUCAUCGGAGUUUUAUGUCCAUUCUUCAUGGGAUGAUGGGAGCUUCAGUCAUGAUUCACCAUAUUGAUUCUUCACAAGGUGAGGCAUGUGAUUCCACGGAUGCUUAGGCGGACCGGUUGAGACUGUCGGAGUCAUGUCAUAGUAUGCGACGAGUUGCGUUGUAGUCUCUCUGCUUUGUGACCGUUCAUUUUAUGUGGUUUUUUUUUUUUGGUUGUCAGAUGUUGGACUUUAUAAAAAUGUAUCAUUUCUACAUUCGGGUUUUCGGUUA